ACGAACGCUGGCGGCGUGCCUAAUACAUGCAAGUCGAACGCUUCUUUUUCCACCGGAGCUUGCUCCACCGGAAAAAGAAGAGUGGCGAACGGGUGAGUAACACGUGGGUAACCUGCCCAUCAGAAGGGGAUAACACUUGGAAACAGGUGCUAAUACCGUAUAACAAUCGAAACCGCAUGGUUUUGAUUUGAAAGGCGCUUUCGGGUGUCGCUGAUGGAUGGACCCGCGGUGCAUUAGCUAGUUGGUGAGGUAACGGCUCACCAAGGCCACGAUGCAUAGCCGACCUGAGAGGGUGAUCGGCCACAUUGGGACUGAGACACGGCCCAAACUCCUACGGGAGGCAGCAGUAGGGAAUCUUCGGCAAUGGACGAAAGUCUGACCGAGCAACGCCGCGUGAGUGAAGAAGGUUUUCGGAUCGUAAAACUCUGUUGUUAGAGAAGAACAAGGAUGAGAGUAACUGUUCAUCCCUUGACGGUAUCUAACCAGAAAGCCACGGCUAACUACGUGCCAGCAGCCGCGGUAAUACGUAGGUGGCAAGCGUUGUCCGGAUUUAUUGGGCGUAAAGCGAGCGCAGGCGGUUUCUUAAGUCUGAUGUGAAAGCCCCCGGCUCAACCGGGGAGGGUCAUUGGAAACUGGGAGACUUGAGUGCAGAAGAGGAGAGUGGAAUUCCAUGUGUAGCGGUGAAAUGCGUAGAUAUAUGGAGGAACACCAGUGGCGAAGGCGGCUCUCUGGUCUGUAACUGACGCUGAGGCUCGAAAGCGUGGGGAGCAAACAGGAUUAGAUACCCUGGUAGUCCACGCCGUAAACGAUGAGUGCUAAGUGUUGGAGGGUUUCCGCCCUUCAGUGCUGCAGCUAACGCAUUAAGCACUCCGCCUGGGGAGUACGACCGCAAGGUUGAAACUCAAAGGAAUUGACGGGGGCCCGCACAAGCGGUGGAGCAUGUGGUUUAAUUCGAAGCAACGCGAAGAACCUUACCAGGUCUUGACAUCCUUUGACCACUCUAGAGAUAGAGCUUCCCCUUCGGGGGCAAAGUGACAGGUGGUGCAUGGUUGUCGUCAGCUCGUGUCGUGAGAUGUUGGGUUAAGUCCCGCAACGAGCGCAACCCUUAUUGUUAGUUGCCAUCAUUCAGUUGGGCACUCUAGCAAGACUGCCGGUGACAAACCGGAGGAAGGUGGGGAUGACGUCAAAUCAUCAUGCCCCUUAUGACCUGGGCUACACACGUGCUACAAUGGGAAGUACAACGAGUCGCGAAGUCGCGAGGCUAAGCUAAUCUCUUAAAGCUUCUCUCAGUUCGGAUUGCAGGCUGCAACUCGCCUGCAUGAAGCCGGAAUCGCUAGUAAUCGCGGAUCAGCACGCCGCGGUGAAUACGUUCCCGGGCCUUGUACACACCGCCCGUCACACCACGAGAGUUUGUAACACCCGAAGUCGGUGAGGUAACCUUUUGGAGCCAGCCGCCUAAGGUGGGAUAGAUGAUUGGGGUGAAGUCGUAACAAGGUAGCCGUAUCGGAAGGUGCGGCUGGAUCACCUCCUUUCUAAGGAA
rnacentral:rRNA from 1 species